ensembl:lncRNA
AUUGGUCUAAUCAAGUUAGACACUCUUCUGCUUCUCUGAAGAAAUCGCACAUUGGCUCAUUUUUAGAGACUGAGGAAGUGAAACUGCUGGAGACUUAUCAGAUCAUAUCAUAAACGAAAGCUGCAGCUUUUCUUCUAGUUUCCCGAACGAAAUAUGGCAAAUGCGGGUAAUAGCUGUCGCUUUGUUAGCUGGUUAGUGAAUUCUGAUUUAAAUGAUAAUCACUCCGACAGCACUGAUGAUGAUGAUGGUAUUUAUGAAAAUGGAUUGAAGACGUGCGAAUGUAAGGCUCCAGUCGCUGAAUGUGAUCCAGGUCUGUUCGAGCCUGAGGAACAGUACUAUCUACCUCGGAGCAGCCCUGUCAUAUCCCGCAAGAGACAUAACACAGAGACAGAAAAACAGUUUGGUCUGUCUUUGACACCUCCAAAAUGGGAACUAUCUAUCUCUCCAACUGUGAAAUCUAACUAUUCAAGUCCAGAUAGAGUGGUAGAGUCAAGUCACUUAGAGAAAGAGAGAAACCUUGAUCACUGUGAUACACCCAAAGGCUCUUCAGGACAGACACAGUUCCUCCCAGAUAAUCAUGGCACAGUGACAGGAAUUUCCCGUGUCUCUCAGGACGCUCGCUGCCACUCUUUUGUUUCUGGGCGAUUACAUGAGGGUUUCCAGUCAAAGACUAAAAGAAGAGCCUGCUCUGACCUCCCACCAGCAUCUGUUCAGAGGAGCUCAGACCAAGCUAAGAAACAUGGAUCAUGUGUGGAUCACUCCACUGCAGACCUCUACAGUCUGGACCAGGAAAAUGCUCAUUUUGUAGUUGUGGAUAUGGUGCUGGAAAUGCUGGAUGCCGUGAAAUGGGCCGUGUGUUUGCAGCAGUUAAAAAACACUCAUCCUCAUCAAGACAGAUGUGAAAAACUAAAUACCUCAAAAACUGACUCAAUCUAUUCCUUUGACAGCGGGUUUGAGGGUAAGAUCAGAUUGAUUUGCAGCGAAGCCCUGUGUCAUCCACAUGUGAUGUGGUUCUGCCAGAGAUCACAUAAUGCUGACCUACUCUCUUUAAAACGAACAGCUCAUCAUUAA